UGUUUUCUUCUCUCCUCGUCUCACCCCUCCUCUCAACCCUUGUUUUCUACAUCAGACGUUGUAUUGAAACAUCUUCUCGAUCUGAUUUCCGUUCCUCGCAAGCAUCAUUGACAAAAGCUCUGCCCAAUCUAAUCGUGGUGCUUAGGGAUGGAACAAUCGUCCAACGAAUCAGAGAACAUUAUUCUCACUAAUGAUCAAGGUGAAAUGAAAGGGUGCGACCAUGACUGCCUCGCCUGCCAAGGUGGUUACUAUGGCACUUGCUCAGCACCCAGUUGUGAAUGCCAGCUGCAGAUAUGGAAAGAGCUUUCACUACAACAGUAGCAUAAACAUCGCCAUUGCUGUGGCUAUUGAUGAUGGGCUAAUAACCCAUAUUCUUCAGGAUGCAGAUAAGUUGGAUUUGUAUUUGUUAUCUCAGAAGUGGAAAGAGCUGAUGGAGAAGGCUCGCUCAAAGCAACUUCAGCCCCAUGAGUACAACUCAAGUCUUCAUCAUUGAAACUCUG